UACGUAGGGGGCAAGCGUUGUCCGGAAUCAUUGGGCGUAAAGAGCGUGUAGGCGGCCCGAUAAGUCCGCCGUGAAAGUCCAGGGCUCAACCCUGGGAUGCCGGUGGAAACUGUCGGGCUAGAGUCCGGAAGAGGCGAGUGGAAUUCCUGGUGUAGCGGUGAAAUGCGCAGAUAUCAGGAAGAACACCCGUGGCUAAGGCGGCUCUCUAGUACGGUACUGACGCUGAGACGCGAAAGCGUGGGGAGCGAACAGG
rnacentral:rRNA from 1 species